UCUGAUAAUAUCUAAACAAACACUAUAUUAAAAUAUCUCAGUGUGGGGAGCAGCUGACUUGCUUGAGAUAACCUCCGAUGAGAUCAACCUUGGUCUGCUGGGAACAUGGAUCUUGGACUGCCGCUGAGGCCUAACGGCAGCGUUUGCGUGACUGAAAACCUGAGGGUGGUGGUGAAAGAAGAAAAUGUAAACGAGGAGGAAUAUGAUCAUGUGAUUUCAUUUCAUGAUGAGGAAGAUAAGCCUGUUGCAGAGCUUCACUGUAAAACUGAAACGGACAUUCAAACAGACGUCGUAGAGUCAUACAGCGGCCCUACCUACAGUGAAACACUACAGACAGCUGCGGAGAUUGAAAUGAAGAAAGAAGAUGAUGCGCAGGAUAACGAUUCUCUGGUGCAAAAUAACCUCCGAUGGGAUCAACCUUGGUCUGCUGGGAACAUGGAUCUUGGACUGCCGCUGAGGCCUAACGGCAGC